GGUGCCGAAAGGCUCAAUAGGGAAUCGGGUGAGAAUCCCGUACAGUUCCCGCUGCUGUAUGCUCUUCAAGCCGUUCAUCAUGCCACUGAAAAUCAAUCACUUUCGGGAAGGCGGACGGAACACAAGGAGCGAGUCAGAAGACCUGCCGCAUGUCG
rnacentral:ncRNA from 1 species